CACGAACCGUACGAACGUUAUUCGGAAUUACUGGGCUUAAAGGGUGCGUAGGCGGCUCAGAAAGUUGGGUGUGAAAGCCCUCGGCUCAACCGAGGAAUUGCGCCCAAAACUACUGAGCUUGAGGGAGACAGAGGUGAGUGGAACUUAGGGUGGAGCGGUGAAAUGCGUUGAUAUCCUAAGGAACACCAGUGGCGAAGGCGACUCACUGGGUCUCUUCUGACGCUGAGGCACGAAAGCUAGGGGAGCGAACGGG
rnacentral:rRNA from 1 species